rnacentral:rRNA from 1 species
AUUGAACGCUGGCGGCAGGCUUAACACAUGCAAGUCGAGCGGGCGAGGUUGCUUCGGUAACUGAGCUAGCGGCGGACGGGUGAGUAAUGCUUAGGAAUCUGCCUAUUAGUGGGGGACAACAUUCCGAAAGGAAUGCUAAUACCGCAUACGCCCUACGGGGGAAAGCAGGGGAUCUUCGGACCUUGCGCUAAUAGAUGAGCCUAAGUCAGAUUAGCUAGUUGGUGGGGUAAAGGCCUACCAAGGCGACGAUCUGUAGCGGGUCUGAGAGGAUGAUCCGCCACACUGGGACUGAGACACGGCCCAGACUCCUACGGGAGGCAGCAGUGGGGAAUAUUGGACAAUGGGCGAAAGCCUGAUCCAGCCAUGCCGCGUGUGUGAAGAAGGCCUUUUGGUUGUAAAGCACUUUAAGCGAGGAGGAGGCUACCGAGAUUAAUACCCCUGGAUA